rnacentral:rRNA from 1 species
CCUACGGGAGGCAGCAGUGGGGAAUAUUGCACAAUGGGGGAAACCCUGAUGCAGCGACGCCGCGUGAGUGAAGAAGUAAUUCGUUAUGUAAAGCUCUAUCAGCAGGGAAGAAAAAGACGGUACCUGAGUCAGAAGCCACGGCUAACUACGUGCCAGAAGCCGCGGUAAUACGGAGGGGGCAAGCGUUAUCCGGAUUUACUGGGUGUAAAGGGAGCGUAGACGGCAGUGCAAGUCUGGAGUGAAAGGCGGGGGCUCAACCCCCGGACUGCUCUGGAAACUGUACGGCUGGAGUGCAGGAGAGGUAAGUGGAAUUCCUGGUGUAGCGGUGAAAUGCGUAGAUAUUAGGAAGAACACCAGUGGCGAAGGCGGCUUACUGGACUGUAACUGACGUUGAUGCUCGAAAGCGUGGGUAGCAAACAGGAUUAGAUACCCUGGUAGUC